AGCUCUGUUGUUAGGGAAGAACAAGUGCGAGAGUAACUGCUCGCACCUUGACGGUACCUAACCAGAAAGCCACGGCUAACUACGUGCCAGCAGCCGCGGUAAUACGUAGGUGGCAAGCGUUAUCCGGAAUUAUUGGGCGUAAAGCGCGCGCAGGUGGUUUCUUAAGUCUGAUGUGAAAGCCCACGGCUCAACCGUGGAGGGUCAUUGGAAACUGGGGAACUUGAGUGCAGAAGAGGAAAGUGGAAUUCCANNUGUAGCGGUGAAAUGCGUAGAGAUUUGGAGGAACACCAGUGGCGAAGGCGACUUUCUGGUCUGUAACUGACACUGAGGCGCGAAAGCGUGGGGAGCAAACAGGAUUAGAUACCCUGGUAGUCCACGCCGUAAACGAUGAGUGCUAAGUGUUAGAGGGUUUCCGCCCUUUAGUGCUGCAGCUAACGCAUUAAGCACUCCGCCUGGGGAGUACGGUCGCAAGACUGAAACUCAAAGGAAUUGACGGGGGCCCGCACAAGCNGGUGGAGCAUGUGGUUUAAUUCGAAGCAACGCGAAGAACCUUACCAGGUCUUGACAUCCUCUGACAACCCUAGAGAUAGGGCGUUCCCCUUCGGGGGACAGAGUGACAGGUGGUGCAUGNNUUGUCGUCAGCUCGUGUCGUGAGAUGUUUGGGUUAAGUCCCGCAACGAGCGCAACCCUUUGAUCUUAGUUGCCAGCAUUCAGUUGGGCACUCUA
rnacentral:rRNA from 1 species